AGAGUUUGAUCCUGGCUCAGGACGAACGCUGGCGGCGUGCCUAACACAUGCAAGUCGAACGGAGAUGUUUAUUUCGGUAGACAUCUUAGUGGCGCACGGGUGAGUAACGCGUGAAUAACCUGACCCGAAGAGGGGGAUAACACCUGGAAACAAGUGCUAAUACCGCAUAAGACCACGGACCGGCAUCGGUCAGAGGUCAAAGGAGGAAUCCGCUUUGGGAGGGGUUCGCGUCCCAUUAGGUAGUUGGUGAGGUAACGGCCCACCAAGCCGACGAUGGGUAGCCGAGCUGAGAGGCUGAUCGGCCACACUGGAACUGAGACACGGUCCAGACUCCUACGGGAGGCAGCAGUGGGGAAUAUUGGGCAAUGGGCGCAAGCCUGACCCAGCAACGCCGCGUGAGGGAAGAAGGUUUUCGGAUUGUAAACCUCUGUCGCAGGGGACGAAGGAAGUGACGGUACCCUGUAAGAAAGCCCCGGCUAACUACGUGCCAGCAGCCGCGGUAAUACGUAGGGGGCGAGCGUUGUCCGGAAUUACUGGGCGUAAAGGGAGCGUAGGCGGUCGAUUAAGUUAGAUGUGAAACCCCCGGGCUUAACUUGGGGACUGCAUCUAAUACUGGUUGACUUAGAGUACAGGAGAGGGAAGCGGAAUUCCUAGUGUAGCGGUGAAAUGCGUAGAUAUUAGGAGGAACACCAGUGGCGAAGGCGGCUUUCUGGACUGACACUGACGCUGAGGCUCGAAAGCGUGGGGAGCAAACAGGAUUAGAUACCCUGGUAGUCCACGCUGUAAACGAUGAAUACUAGGUG
rnacentral:rRNA from 1 species